GUGAGGCUAAUUAACACAUUAUCCUCCUUUAUACAAAUAACAACUGGGGAUGUUCAUGAUUAUUUGAUCAUCAAGUAAUAGUUGUUAAUAAUUUAAUUAUAAAAUGUACAGAUUAAUCAAUUUCAGCACAAAUGCGUUCGGUAAUCAUGUGAGCAGAUGGUGAAAACACUGCCUAUACAGUCCCAAAGCUAGAGGGCACAUUGCAGCUUUCACGCUGUAUGUUGCACAAACGUGCACCCUUGGCUUGUAAAAAUGAAGUGGGUUCGACAUAAUCAGUGUUGGAGCAUUUCUCUAUAAAUAGUGAUCAUGUUCAAUGCUAAGAUUGUGAAAGAGUGUUAAAGUACAACAUGAGAACAAGCACUAAUAAUCUGUUUGUCUCCCUGUAUCAUCCCAACCGACAAUCAUGCGAGUGCCCGCUGGGAGAGCAUGCUGGAGGAGGGCUUGGCCGGGCCGUGAUGAUGCACGGCCGGCGCUGAAUCAGCUGAUCAGUGGCAGAGCGAGAUAAAGGGGAGCCGAAGGUGCCCAUUCGAGAGAGACGCACGCGGACGCGUUGCAUGUGUGUCUGUGUUUAUGUUUAUAUUAUUUUGAGUUUCUUAUUAAACUUUUAUGUUUACUGUUCAGCCGGUUCCCGCCUCCUCCUUGCCCGUCCUUUAUCUGUUACAGUGGUGUCGAAACCUGGGAGGGAGGAGGGAUGCGCUGUUGCGGAGUCCUCGCCGCUGCCAUCCACCAGGGGAGCAGCUGCGGCCAUAUGCCUGGGGACGGAGGGGUCGCUGCCGGCCGCCGAAAGCCGGAGGAACUGCUGCCGUCCGCCGAAGAAGGGGAGGAGUGGUUCCAUCCGCCAGGGGCCGGAGGACUCACUGCCGUUCGCCGGGGUAGGAGCGAGCUGGCGUUUGCCAGAGGGCGGAGGAGCGGUUGAGGACCGGGUGACAGUGCGUCCGGGAGCCGGCGAGCAAGUUCUUCUCUCUCUCUCUCUCUCUCUCUCUCUCUCUCUCUCUCUCUCUCUCUCUCUCUCUCUCUCUCUCCCUGUGUGUGUCUCCGCUCGCCCUUUCCUUCUCCCCUUGUCUCUCCCCCAGGUUCACACGAGGCGGGGUGGACCACUGGCUGACAGAAGGCUGGAAGGGCAGCAUCUCCAUUCCAGAGAUUGGUGGGUGAGUUGGUCAGACCGGUGGCGCCCCAGCCUGAAUCGGGAGGAGGAGUGUGACGAGGAGGAGGAGGGCAUGGCCGGGCCGUGAUGAUGCACGGCUGGCGCUGAAUCAGCUGAUCGGCGGGAGAGCGAGAUAAAGGGGAGCCGGAGAUGCCAGUUCGAGAGAGAGAGAGAGAGAGACGCACGCGGCCGCGUUGCAUGUGUGUCUGUGUUUGUUUAUGUUUGUUUUAUGUUGAGUUUCUUAUUAAACUUUGUUUACUGUU